UUGGUAGACGCUGCGGACUUAAAUAAAUAAUAAUAAAGAAUUUGAGCUUUAGUAGAAAAACUUAUUAAAUGCUAGCUUUCAGAUUCAGGGAAACUUAAGUUGAAAAAAGUAUAAGCAAUCCUGAGCCAAAUUUUAUUUUUAAAAAUAAAAUAGGUGCAGAGACUCGAUGGAAGCUAUCCUAACGCAAAAAGUUUUAAGAUUUAUUUAAUUGAAUUGUAUAAAUUAAUGGAAAUAAAAAAAAAAUUUAGUAAUUUUUUUAUUUUAUUAAUAAUAAGCGAGGAUAAAGAUAGAGUCCCAUUUUACAUGUUAAUUUUAGCAACAAUUUAAAUUGUAGUAAAAAGAAAAUCCGUUGGCUUUAUUGACCGUGAGGGUUCAAGUCCCUCUACCCCCAAAACUAUUAAUCCUUUUUUUUUAUUGACAUAAGUUUCCAGCUUAUGCUAAGAUAGCCUAGGCAAUAAAAAGCCGGAAUAGCUCAGUUGGUAGAGCAAAGGACUGAAAAUCCUCGUGU
rnacentral:misc_RNA from 1 species